CCUACGGGAGGCAGCAGUGAGGAAUAUUGGUCCAUGGGCGGGAGCCUGAACCAGCCAAGUCGCGUGAGGGAAGACGGUCCUAUGGAUUGUAAACCUCUUUAGGCGGGGAGCAAUGCCGGGCACGCGUGCCCGGAGGGAGAGUACCCGCAGAAUAAGCAUCGGCUAACUCCGUGCCAGCAGCCGCGGUAAUACGGAGGAUGCGAGCGUUAUCCGGAUUUAGUGGGUUUAAAGGGUGCGUAGGCGGAUUUUUAAGUCAGCGGUAAAAUGUCCGGGCUCAACCCGGGCCGGCCGUUGAAACUGGGGAUCUUGAGUGGGCGAGAAGUAUGCGGAAUGCGUGGUGUAGCGGUGAAAUACAUAGAUAUCACGCAGAACUCCGAUUGCGAAGGCAGCAUACCGGCGCCCGACUGACGCUGAGGCACGAAAGCGUGGGGAUCGAACAGGAUUAGAUACCCGGGUAGUC
rnacentral:rRNA from 1 species